rnacentral:rRNA from 1 species
UACGUAGGGUGCAAGCGUUGUCCGGAAUUAUUGGGCGUAAAGAGCUCGUAGGCGGUUUGUCGCGUCGGCUGUGAAAACCUGGGGCUCAACCCCGGGCCUGCAGCCGAUACGGGCAGACUAGAAUUCGGUAGGGGAGUCCGGAAUUCCUGGUGUAGCGGUGAAAUGCGCAGAUAUCGAGAGGAACACCAGUGGCGAAGGCGAGUCCCUGGACAAAACCUGACACUGAGGCACGAAAGCUAGGGGAGCAAACAGG